rnacentral:rRNA from 1 species
UAGGGAAUAUUGGACAAUGGGCGCAAGCCUGAUCCAGCCAUGCCGCGUGAGUGAUGAAGGCCUUAGGGUUGUAAAGCUCUUUCGGCGGGGAAGAUGAUGACGGUACCCGCAGAAGAAGCCCCGGCUAACUUCGUGCCAGCAGCCGCGGUAAUACGAAGGGGGCAAGCGUUGUUCGGAAUUACUGGGCGUAAAGGGCGCGUAGGCGGUCUGUUGCGUUGGGUGUGAAAGCCCCGGGCUCAACCUGGGAUGUGCGCCCGAUACGGACAGGCUCGAGACCGGGAGAGGAGAGUGGAAUUCCCAGUGUAGAGGUGAAAUUCGUAGAUAUUGGGAAGAACACCGGUGGCGAAGGCGGCUCUCUGGCCCGGUUCUGACGCUGAGGCGCGAAAGCGUGGGGAGCAAACAGGAUUAGAUACCCGCGUAGUCC